rnacentral:rRNA from 1 species
UACGUAGGGUGCAAGCGUUGUCCGGAAUUAUUGGGCGUAAAGAGCUCGUAGGCGGUUUGUCGCGUCUGCUGUGAAAACUCGGGGCUUAACCCCGGGCCUGCAGUGGGUACGGGUAGACUAGAGUGCGGUAGGGGAGACUGGAAUUCCUGGUGUAGCGGUGAAAUGCGCAGAUAUCAGGAGGAACACCGGUGGCGAAGGCGGGUCUCUGGGCCGUAACUGACGCUGAGGAGCGAAAGCGUGGGGAGCGAACAGG